GCAACUCGCCUACAUGAAGUCGGAAUCGCUAGUAAUCGCGGAUCAGCAUGCCGCGGUGAAUACGUUCCCGGGCCUUGUACACACCGCCCGUCACACCAUGGGAGCCGGUAAUACCCGAAGUCAGUAGUCCAACCUCGUGAGGACGCUGCCGAAGGUAGGAUUGGCGACUGGGGUGAAGUCGUAACAAGGUACC
rnacentral:rRNA from 1 species